rnacentral:ncRNA from 1 species
GGGAAAGGUUACUUAAGCAUAUGGAGAAUGCCUUGACUCGUAUGAGCGAUGAAGGACGUAGCAGGCUGCGAUAAGCCUCGGGGAGCUGCCAAGCAAGCUUUGAUCCGUGGAUUUCCGAAUGGGGAAACCCUCCUGUUUUUUAGCAGGAAUUAUUAUUUGAAUUCAUAGAAUAAUAAAGUCAACCUAGUGAACUGAAACAUCUUAGUAGCUAGAGGAAUAUAAAUCAAUAGAGAUUCCGUCAGUAGUGGCGAGCGAAAGCGGAACAGUCUAAACCAGUGCUACGCAUUGGAAAUUUCAAAUUCCAAAUUCCAAAAACCAAAUAAAUUCCAAAAACCAAAAUUCUAAAUUUCAAAACAUGUAUUUGUUUGUGAUUUAUUAUUUUGAGUAUUGUGAUUUGUUUGGAAAUUGUGAUUUGUUAUUUGGUUAUUCCACUGCGUGGCAUUGGGGUUGCGAGGUAGUCGUACUCGUUUGAUCGUGGUUGCUUUAUAUUUUUUAGUAGAACACUUUGGGAAGAGUGGCCAUAGAAGGUAACAGCCCUGUAUACGAAAAAAAAUAUAAAGUGAUGAGACUAUCCUCAAGUAGGACGGGACCGGAGAAAUCCUGUCUGAAUCAGGGAGCACUAACUUCCAAGACUAAAUAUUAUACGAGAUCGAUAGUGAACAAGUAGAUCGAUAGUGAACAAGUACCGUGAGGGAAAGGUGAAAAGCAUCCCGAUGAGGGAGAUGAAAUAGUAUCUGAAACCAUAUGUUAACAAGGAGUCAGAGCGGUGUUUACACCGCAAUGGCGUACUUUUUGUAGAACGGGCCAACGAGUUAAUUUUAUACGGCUUGCAUAAACCACUUUGUGGGAUAUGCGUAGUGAAAGCGAGGCUUAACCGCCGAAUUUGUCGUAUGAAUUAGACCCGAAGCCAGGCGAGCUACGCAUGAGCAGGGUGAACCCCAAGUAACAUUGGGGGGAGGCCCGAACCCACUGAUCGUUCAACUUCAGGGGAUGACUUGUGCGUAGGGGAGAAAUUCCAAUCGAGCUUGGCGAUAGCUGGUUCUCUCCGAAAUAGCUUUAGGGCUAGCGUUCGGGAAAUGAGCAAGGGAGGUAGAGCUACUGGAUGAGUUUUCGCGGUUCGCCGUAGGACACUCAACCAAACUCCGAAUUCUUUUGUUUCUUAUCCGGGCAGUUAGAACCUCGGCGCUAAGGUCGAGGCUCAAAAGGGAAAAAGCCCAGAUCAUAAUCUAAGGUCCCAAAAUUCAUGUUAAGUGGUAAAGGAAGUGAAAUUUCUGAAACACCUAGUAGGUUGGCUUAGAAGCAGCCAUCCUUUAAAGAGUGCGUAAUAGCUCACUAGCUUAGAGAUUUCGCGUCGAAGAUGUAACGGGGCUAAACAUGAUACCGAAGAUAUGGAAUCUGUGUGUAACACAGAAAUUCUAAAUUCCAAAUUCCAAAAACCAAAUAAAUUCCAAAAACCAAAAUUCUAAAUUUCAAAACAUGUAUUUGUUUGUGAUUUAUUAUUUUGAAUAUUGAAUUUUGUUUGG